rnacentral:rRNA from 1 species
GUGAGGAAUAUUGGUCAAUGGGCGAGAGCCUGAACCAGCCAAGUCGCGUGAAGGAAGAAGGAUCUAUGGUUCGUAAACUUCUUUUGCAGGGGAAUAAAGUGCGGGACGUGUCCUGUUUUGUAUGUACCCUGAGAAUAAGGAUCGGCUAACUCCGUGCCAGCAGCCGCGGUAAUACGGAGGAUCCGAGCGUUAUCCGGAUUUAUUGGGUUUAAAGGGUGCGUAGGUGGUUUGAUAAGUCAGCGGUGAAAGUUUGCAGCUUAACUGUAAAAAUGCCGUUGAAACUGUCGGACUUGAGUGUAAAUGAGGUAGGCGGAAUGUGUUGUGUAGCGGUGAAAUGCAUAGAUAUAACACAGAACACCAAUUGCGAAGGCAGCUUACUGGGAUGCAACUGACGCUGAGGCACGAAAGCGUGGGGAUCAAACAGGAUUAGAAACCCCGGUAGUCC